GACGAACGCUGGCGGCGUGCUUAACACAUGCAAGUCGAACGGAAAGGCCCUGCUUUUGUGGGGUGCUCGAUUGGCGCACGGGUGAGUAACACGUGAGUAACCUGCCCUUGACUUUGGGAUAACUUCAGGAAACUGGGGCUAAUACCGGAUAGGAGCUCCUGCUGCAUGGUGGGGGUUGGAAAGUUUCGGCGGUUGGGGAUGGACUCGCGGCUUAUCAGCUUGUUGGUGGGGUAGUGGCGUACCAAGGCUUUGACGGGUACCCGGCCUGAGAGGGUGACCGGCCACAUUGGGACUGCGAUACGGCCCAGACUCCUACGGGAGGCAGCAGUGGGGAAUAUUGCGCAAUGGGCGGAAGCCUGAUGCAGCAACGCCGCGUGCGGGAUGACGGCCUUCGGGUUGUAAACCGCUUUCGCCUGUGACGAAGCGUGAGUGACGGUAAUGGGUAAAGAAGCACCGGCUAACUACGUG
rnacentral:rRNA from 1 species